CUUGUACUCCCUCCAUCCGAAAAUACUUGUCAUUGAAAUGGAUGUAUCUAGAUGUAUUUUAGUUCUAGACACAUCCAUUUUGAUGGCAAGUAAUUCCAGACGGAUGGAGUACUUG
rnacentral:pre_miRNA from 1 species